CAAGGUAUAGCUUAAUAAAAGCCUCUCGCUUACACCGAGACGAUAUCUGUUAAACCCAGAUUUUCUUGA
rnacentral:tRNA from 1 species